rnacentral:lncRNA from 1 species
AGGGGCUGUGGAAGGCUGGCAGGGUGCAGGUGGCCCCACUCUCCGUCACCCUGAGGAAUAUGUGGUCAGAGUUAAAGCUCAGUCUGUUUCUGGGAUCAGCCUUUCACAAGCUCUAAAAGAUUCACUGUGCAGAACUGGAGGUUCUAGAGAAAGACCACGCCUCCUCCUACAGGUAACUCUUGAUUCAGGAAGCAGCUCUUGGCUUAUCCCUGGGCUUAGUGGAAUUCAAAUACCUGACCAUAGGACACCAAGGGCUUUGGGACCUGAAAGGCACAUCAUGUCCUGGUGACAUCUGAGUUACCUGGGGCAUGCACAGCCAGCCUCCAGCAUCCCAGGGAGAGCUGUGUAUGGGGUCAGGCUCAAGCAGGUCCCAGGGCACCAGUGACCCAAUGGGUGACUCAGACUCCCAUGGCACCUGCUCCUUCUGUUUCUCCCUCCACCAUAUAUAUGAGCUCAUGGGAAACACUGUGUGACCUCUUACAGAGGAGGAAAGUGCAUGGACUUCCAGUUUCUAGAACUGUGAUACAAUAAACUCCUGUUGCUUAUCU